GGCUCCACUGUUAAGGUAAACGCAGAACAAAAAGAAGAAAAUAGACCCAAAAUACCUGUCCUCCUCCCUAAAAAGUAUAAUUUUGACCGUUUAGUUGCCAAGCGUGCCAUAAAUCGAAAGUUGAAAGUGGACUUUGGUCUAAAUGGCGUCGUUUUCGCCAAUUUCUUCGGAGGAAUCCAGCCCCGAAGGAGACCGUAAAUGUUGCGGGAAAAGUCAAAAAUGCAGCAAAGAGACAGGCCAUUUGGGCAAAUGUGAUUCGAAACGACAAGUAAAUCGUUUCUAGGAGACAUCGCCUAUUUUUAACAUUCAUAAGGAGCGCCAAACGCUCCAAGACAACUUUCGCUAGCUUCAAGUCCAAGAAGAUGCUUCAUCCAAGAAGGAGCAAGAUAUCUUGGCUUUACAAAGGGAGACAGAUGCUCUAGUAGAGGAAUCAGAAAGAGCGCUGCAAAAAUCAAAAGGAGAGAAAGAGACACUAGACAAAGAAAUAAGUGAAGCAGAGGAGACACUGAGAGAACUAAAGGAGGCAUAUGAGAAAGUGAAAAAACUGUUAAUAAUAAUAAUAAU